GGGCCCCUAUUCCACAACCCUUAUACUAGACCUCCAUACUUUCCUAUCCAGGGUCAUGUCCUCAGAAACCUGCAUUCUAACCAUGUCAUGCCUAAUCACCUCUCCCCAAUACCUCUUAGGUCUCUCUCUGCCUCGCCGUACGCCGACCAUCGCCAGCCGCUCACAACUCCUCACCGGGGCGUCAGGACUUCUCCUCCGCACAUGCCCGAAN
rnacentral:lncRNA from 1 species